GACGAACGCUGGCGGCGUGCUUAACACAUGCAAGUCGAACGGAAAGGCCCUGCUUUUGUGGGGUGCUCGAGUGGCGAACGGGUGAGUAACACGUGAGUAACCUGCCCUUGACUUUGGGAUAACUUCAGGAAACUGGGGCUAAUACCGGAUAGGAGCUCCUGCUGCAUGGUGGGGGUUGGAAAGUUUCGGCGGUUGGGGAUGGACUCGCGGCUUAUCAGCUUGUUGGUGGGGUAGUGGCUUACCAAGGCUUUGACGGGUAGCCGGCCUGAGAGGGUGACCGGCCACAUUGGGACUGAGAUACGGCCCAGACUCCUACGGGAGGCAGCAGUGGGGAAUAUUGCACAAUGGGCGGAAGCCUGAUGCAGCAACGCCGCGUGCGGGAUGACGGCCUUCGGGUUGUAAACCGCUUUCGCCUGUGACGAAGCGUGAGUGACGGUAAUGGGUAAAGAAGCACCGGCUAACUACGUGCCAGCAGCCGCGGUGAUACGUAGGGUGCGAGCGUUGUCCGGAUUUAUUGGGCGUAAAGGGCUCGUAGGUGGUUGAUCGCGUCGGAAGUGUAAUCUUGGGGCUUAACCCUGAGCGUGCUUUCGAUACGGGUUGACUUGAGGAAGGUAGGGGAGAAUGGAAUUCCUGGUGGAGCGGUGGAAUGCGCAGAUAUCAGGAGGAACACCAGUGGCGAAGGCGGUUCUCUGGGCCUUUCCUGACGCUGAGGAGCGAAAGCGUGGGGAGCGAACAGGCUUAGAUACCCUGGUAGUCCACGCUGUAAACGGUGGGUACUAGGUGUGGGGUCCAUUCCACGGGUUCCGUGCCGUAGCUGACGCUUUAAGUACCCCGCCUGGGGAGUACGGCCGCAAGGCUAAAACUCAAAGGAAUUGACGGGGCCCCGCACAAGCGGCGGAGCAUGCGGAUUAAUUCGAUGCAACGCGUAGAACCUUACCUGGGUUUGACAUGGAUCGGGAGUGCUCAGAGAUGGGUGUGCCUCUUUUGGGGUCGGUUCACAGGUGGUGCAUGGCUGUCGUCAGCUCGUGUCGUGAGAUGUUGGGUUAAGUCCCGCAACGAGCGCAACCCUUGUUCACUGUUGCCAGCACGUUAUGGUGGGGACUCAGUGGAGACCGCCGGGGUCAACUCGGAGGAAGGUGGGGAUGACGUCAAGUCAUCAUGCCCCUUAUGUCCAGGGCUUCACGCAUGCUACAAUGGCUGGUACAGAGAGUGGCGAGCCUGUGAGGGUGAGCGAAUCUCGGAAAGCCGGUCUCAGUUCGGAUUGGGGUCUGCAACUCGACCUCAUGAAGUCGGAGUCGCUAGUAAUCGCAGAUCAGCAACGCUGCGGUGAAUACGUUCCCGGG
rnacentral:rRNA from 1 species